CCUACGGGUGGCAGCAGUGAGGAAUAUUGGUCAAUGGACGCAAGUCUGAACCAGCCAUGCCGCGUGCAGGAAGACGGCUCUAUGAGUUGUAAACUGCUUUUGUACGAGGGUAAACGCAGAUACGCGUAUCUGUCUGAAAGUAUCUUACGAAUAAGGAUCGGCUAACUCCGUGCCAGCAGCCGCGGUAAUACGGAGGAUUCGAGCGUUAUCCGGAUUUAUUGGGUUUAAAGGGUGCGUAGGCGGUCGGAUAAGUUAGAGGUGAAAGCCCGAGGCUCAACUUCGGAAUUGCCUCUGAUACUGUUCGGCUAGAGAGUAGUUGCGGUAGGCGGAAUGUAUGGUGUAGCGGUGAAAUGCUUAGAGAUCAUACAGAACACCGAUUGCGAAGGCAGCUUACCAAGCUACUUCUGACGUUGAGGCACGAAAGCGUGGGGAGCAAACAGGAUUAGAUACCCCAGUAGUC
rnacentral:rRNA from 1 species